rnacentral:rRNA from 1 species
UACGGAGGGUGCAAGCGUUAUCCGGAUUCACUGGGUUUAAAGGGUGCGUAGGUGGGAUGGUAAGUCCGUGGUGAAAUCUCCAAGCUUAACUUGGAAACUGCCGUGGAUACUAUCAUUCUUGAAUCUCGUGGAGGUAAGCGGAAUAUGUCAUGUAGCGGUGAAAUGCUUAGAUAUGACAUAGAACACCGAUAGCGAAGGCAGCUUGCUACACGAGUAUUGACACUGAGGCACGAAAGCGUGGGGAGCAAACAGG